rnacentral:ncRNA from 2 species
AAAAGAGCCAGCGGGAGCUUGUGUGACAGGCUGAGAGGAAGAUAGAUCUUCGACCGUACCUGAUUUGGGUAAUGCCAACGGAGGGAUUGUGAUCUGAGAGCGU